UACGUAGGGGGCGAGCGUUGUCCGGAAUCAUUGGGCGUAAAGCGCGUGUAGGCGGCCCGGUAAGUCCGCUGUGAAAGUCGGGGGCUCAACCCUCGAAAGCCGGUGGAUACUGUCGGGCUAGAGUACGGAAGAGGCGAGUGGAAUUCCUGGUGUAGCGGUGAAAUGCGCAGAUAUCAGGAGGAAUACCGGUGGCGAAAGCGACUCUCUGGACGGCAACUGACGCUGAGGCACGAAAGCGUGGGGAGCAAACAGG
rnacentral:rRNA from 1 species